UUACGACCACAUCACGUAGGAACACCGGUUCUCGUACGAUCACUGAAGUUAAGCAGCAUCGCGCCUGGUCAGUACUUAGAUGGGUGACCGCUUGGAGAUAACUAGUGCUGUAAG